GAAGUGGCCGCAGUACAAUGAACGUAGUCCCACCCCACUAGCAAUAAAAAAAAGGAGAGAAAUUAUAAAAACAUAUAAUGCUCGUAAAACCAGAAGGGAAGAGGAAGAAAGGUGGAUCAAGAAUGGGAUGGAUGGUGUGGAGAAGGGUUUGAGGAACUUGGGUGGAGUUAACUGGAAAACAAAGGCACAAGAGCGGAAUGGCUGGAGAAAGUUUUUAGAGCAGGCCAAGGCCCGCAAAGUUCCCUAUCACUGCCUUGUGGGAAAUUCAAAUUUGGAGCACCCAAAACAUGAGAAUGUGGUCGACAUCAUCGAAAUAUGCAGAACCAAAGUCAUGCAACCAUAGGAACCCAGUGGAAACAUCCAAGGACUGGCAAGAAGAAAGCUGUGUCAGAAGGUGAAGAAUCCGUAUAAUAAUCAAAUCUUGUUAUGCCUGAUUCCACUGAAGAAGUGUUGCUCAAUUACAUUAACUUAAAAUAUGGGAAGUUUGUGGACUGGUUGCAGUGUCAUGGUGAAAGCUGUGACAUUGAUAGCACUUAGCACUUCCCCUUGUAGCCACAUGGGCCACGCCAUAGCUCAAGCGGUUAGUUGCUGGCCCGGGUUCGAUCCUGGGUCUGGUGAAAUGGGAUUU